rnacentral:misc_RNA from 1 species
AACGCACGAGACCUGCGGACCUGCGGAAGGAUCAUUAAUGAGAAGCUGCCCCUCGUGGGUAGACCUCCCACCCUCUGUGAACUUACCUUUGUUGCUUUGGCAGGCCCGUCCUCUGGACCGCCGGCUUCGGCUGGCCCGUGCCUGCCAGAGGACUCCAAACCCUGUCUGUCAGUGUUGUCUGAGUCUAUAUGAAAUCGUUAAAACUUUUAGCAAUGGAUCUCUAGAUCGGAAGAGCACACG